rnacentral:lncRNA from 1 species
CCUAAUGUGCUUCUGGUCAGUGACAAGUGACACUUUGGAUUUACCUAUUAGAGAAGACUAUUGGCUCUCAACCAGAAUGUUUUCUAAACUCUUCCAUAUACAAGCCUAGUAGAAAUACAGGCAACUAAGUCCCUAUGAUGGAAGCAUCCAGUCAAAGAGUGCAAAGGAAAAGAGUGGUGAUGGGACGUAUCUUCUAAGCUUUGGCGCAAAACCUGAAAAGGCUCUGAGGAGAGAAAGUCAAGGCCAUUCUAGGAACUGCAGGAGAGCAAAAUCAUGUUAUAACAUCCUUGAAAAUUGAAGACCCGCCUUAAGCAUUUCUGUUGACUUGGAAACUGCAGUCCAUUCCAUUGUCAGACAGUUCUGAAGAUAGGAAGUUCUUAAUACUGAAACCAACUCUGGUCUCCUCAUUCCUCAAGCAACUCUAGUCUGGCUCUUUUCCUCACCAUUCCUCCAAAUUGGCCACCUGUGGCUUUUAUGAGAGAAAAUCCAGCGGAUCUAUGCCAGGAUCAUCUUAUUCUCUUAGCAGCAUUUGACCCAGUUGGCAUUCUUAACUUCU